rnacentral:lncRNA from 1 species
CCCAAAUCCAUCUAUUCUCACCUUUUCCAAUUUGUUACUUUGAUUCGCAAUGGCUCGUACGAAGUAGACCGCUUGUAAGUCCACCGGUGGAAAGGGUCAAAGGAAGCAACUCGCUAGCAAGGCUGCUAGGAAAUCUGCUCCAACAACCGGAGGAGUGAAGAAGCCUCAUCGUUAUCGUUCUGGAACUGUCGCACUACGGUGAAUUGGCCAAACAUGCUGUUUCCGAGGGUACUAAGGCUGUUACCAAGUUUACUAGCGCUUAGAGGAGAUUGGUUUGUUGGGUGCCUUGAAGUUGGACUGGAAGAAGACAACAAGUAGAGA